rnacentral:rRNA from 1 species
ACGCUCGACACCUACGGUAGGCAGCAGUUGGGAAUAUUGGACAAUGGAGGAAACUCUGAUCCAGUGACGCCGCGUGAAGGAAGAAGGUCUUCGGAUUGUAAACUUAUUUUGUCAGGGAAGAAAAAAUGACUGUACCUGAAGAAAAAGCACCGGCUAACUACGUGCCAGCACGCCGGACGUAUCUGAGGCGGCGUGGCAAGGC